ACAGUCCGUGCAGAAACAGUCACGCAGUAAGCAAUCACCCAGCACCUCUGUAUCCUAAUAUACAGGAGGCCGUGGGUUCCAAGUGCUGAAGAAACGCAGCCCUUGUUCUCGAGGAGGCAGGACCUGCAAACAAUUAUGCCUUGAUGACAUCAUGCUCGAGUGGAAGUCUGGGGAACUGAAGACAGCCUCGGAAACUCAGAAGUAUUCCUGCUUGAAGAACUCCUUAUAAGGAAACUUCCCUCAUCACACACACAAAAAGCAGAGAUAUUGAAACACUUGGCUGAGACAUCAAGUCAUACUAGAGAAGACAAACGUCUGAUGAGAAGAUGGAGGGGGGAAGCAUUCUGUGAGGGCCUCUCACUCAUCCAAAAAGAAGUGAAGUUGACCCUCAAAAUAUGUCCAAAUAUUAAGUGACAUCAGUCAUCCACAUUUAUCCUGGGUCUCCACUACUCCCUUC